AUAGCUUCUUGGCCUUUUGGCUAAGAUCAAGUGUAGUAUCUGUUCUUAUCAGUAACAGAAAAAUCAAGUAAAAGCAGUAAAACAUGUAAUUUAGAAAUAUGACAUAAAUAUUCAACAACU
rnacentral:snRNA from 1 species